UCUUCUCGCCCCUGCCUGCUCGCACCUAUUGCCGCCGCCCUCCCUAAAAUAAAACCCACACGGCUGGCGGCGCACGGCCCUCCUCCCUCGAGCAGCGGCAGCGGAGCGGGGUGCGCCGAGCUUGACCUACGUCGAUGGGACGUUGUGGUCCCUCUCCUCCAUCGAGCAGCGGCCGCGGCGCGGGAUGCAGUGGGCUCGGCCUUCGUCGACGGCUGUGGGGUCCCGUUCCUCCCUCGACCAUCGGCGGCAGCGCGGGACGCAGCGGGCUCGGCCUUCGUCGUCGGCGGCGGGGUCCCUUUCCUCCCUCGACCAUCGGCGGCAGCGCAGGACACAACGGGCGGCCAGGGACGCGGCGCUGGGUGCGGGGCGUGGUUGCAUGGUGGAGGGCGCGUGCAUGAAGGCGACGCGUUCCGUACUACUGUCAUCAUGCUCCCUGAUACGAGCUCCUCCUUCCUCCCGCUGGACAUGCCCAGCACCAUCCCAUGCCCUCAGCCCGCUGGCCAGAGAAAGGAGCUUGAUUUAAUUUGUGCACGAUCGAUCAUCUGUAAAAAAAAUCAUCUACGAAGGAAGGCAAGGAAAACUCCAUUUAGCAAGGUCCAUUGACAUACAAGCAUGUACACCAUUUCAAGAUAUUACAAAUAUUGUUGUUUCCCGAAGAUUAUCGGAGGAGUAACAUGGCAUCGGUGUACAAUAUGGAUGAUGCAUGUGUUGGAAUUGGCACUGCUAUCUCCACUGUACUGAAGGAGAUCAAGCCCAUUUCCAUCAGCAUCAACUGGAACUUUCCGUCGACUUGCAUCCUUCCCCUUUUUUUUCUCUCCCUGAGGUCACAUGACCAUUCUUCAUACACCGCUUCACUAGGACUAGCGCAGAACUACAGAUGAUGAAAAUUCCAAAAGAAGUUGCCUCUUGUUUGAACACCCCAAAGCAUGGGCUGGCGAGAUUAAGGUUGGGCAAAGAGAGCUUCAGGAGGACCGAGUAUGACACCUCACUUGUCAAUCGCUUAUUCUUCAAGCAAGGAUGGAAGAAGUUUCUCACGAGACAUGACAUGAGGUUGGCACUACGGUACUAAUUACAUUUAAGACCGUCGCCAAAAAUGAGUUGGAGAUUACAGUCAUCCUUUCAUGUCCUUUGAGAAGUUGAAGAUCAUGUUGGACGAGUUUCGGGCUUUCAUGAGUUAUUUAAUUAUUUCUCUGUGUCUUUUUUUUAAUCAUGGAGGAGAACUACGUGUGAACUUUAUAGAUACAAGAAGAAAAGGGCAAAGGCCCGUACAAAGUUCAAUUCCUAUUAUGUUUAUUUUGUUUCUUCUUUGUCUACAUAAUGGGUUUUAAACUAUGUUUUGUGAAUCGGAUGUAUAUAGACAUGUUUUAGUGUGUU